rnacentral:rRNA from 1 species
GACGAACGCUGGCGGCGUGCCUAAUACAUGCAAGUCGAACGCAGUGGGGACGGGUGAGUAACACGUGGGUAACCUCCCAUCAGAGGGGAUAACACUUGGAAACAGGUGCUAAACCGAUACUGAUGGAUGGACCCGCGGUGCAUUAGCUAGUUGGUGAGGUAACGGCUCACCAAGGCCACGAUGCAUAGCCGACCUGAGAGGGUGAUCGGCCACACUGGGACUGAGACACGGCCCAGACUCCUACGGGAGGCAGCAGGAGGGAAUCUUCGGCAAUGGACGAAAGUCUGACCGAGCAACGCCGCGUGAGUGAAGAAGGUCUUCGGAUUGUAAAGCACUUUUGUCGGAGAGGCGUUACCUAAACAGAAAGCCCCGGCUAACUCCGUGCCAGCCGCCGCGGUAAUAC